rnacentral:lncRNA from 1 species
CUGAAGGAUGGGGACUUGGCAGAGUUCAGUGAUGUUUUAGGGUUGGAACAUUUGGGUGCCUGAGAAAAUACUCAGCCUGUAUGACUGUGGCCUGAGUCGAGAAGGAGUGCUAGCUCUGAGAAGAAAAGGUUUAUUUCCACUCUCAUGUGACUAUCCAUCUAUUCAUCUCUCCAUCCAUCAGCCCUUCUGCUCUACCAGGAACAAGUGAAGUGAUAGGAAGAGCUUUUCCUCAAAUAGCUCUGAGUUGUCCCAAGUCCAGCCUCCAGAUCAGAGACCGUGGUUAGGGCCCUGGAGGAUGCCCACAGCACCUCCCAUGUUUGCAUGCUAACUGGAGGCUGCCUCUUCAGGUGUGAGGAGACAACUGUGCAGGUGGGGCAGGGCUGCCUUUCAUCCCCCUCCUUUCUUCUCCAGGGAUCUGGUAUGCUGAGUUUGCUUUUGAAAUGGAGGUCCUGGCCAGAGGUAGCCUGGUAAAUACAGUUCUUAAUCUAAAAAAACAAAACUCAGUGGGGAGAGAGUAUGGGGAAGAAGGAAGCAUUCUCCUUACCUGUGGACUAGACAGGGAGUGCUGAGAGAGGGAGCCUGGGGAAAGUCCCAUUGGUGUGAGCUUAGAGUUCCAGGAGAGAUUAGCCACAGCCGGAUGCUGACAAGGGUGCCAGAUUGUUUCAUUACGGAAUGGUUAGUUAUCACAUUAGCUGGUUCGUUUUAAAAGAUUACAUCUGGGUCUGUAGACCUCCUCCCAUAUAACUUGGAUUUUGUGGACCUGUAUGAUGGCCUGCAGCACAGCACUGCCAGCCUCAGAGAAGGCUGGGGUGUCAGUUCAUGAGUCACCCCAGAGUCAACACAAGUCAGCCCCACCAGCCGCACAGUGUGCCUGCUGUCUGUUGCAAGGUGAAUGCAAGAUGAUUUUUAAAAAAAAUUUGUCUCCCUGUGGCUGGUCACUUGGAGGCCUUUUUUUUAAAAAAAACAUGUAUUUACAUCCUAUUGAUGUAUCACCAUCCUGUUGGUGACUUUAAAAAUUUUAUGUAUGUAAAAUUGCCUAUCUACUAAUUUGACAAUACCCUGGAGAUGGAACUCAUCCCCAACUUUUGGCCUGGCUGUGAGACAUCCCUCCUUGUUAUAUCUUAUUUUGUUGCUGUUGCUUUUGUUUCUCCCCACACCCGUGCCCCCAUGGGGGUCCUUGGCCAGCUCUACUCCGACUGCAGUUGUAGAACUGGGCAGAGAAGGUGUGACACCCCCUCCCCCAUUAUACCUCAGAAAGAACUAGAAGUAUGAUAAAUGAGUAAGACUGGGAAUUUGUUUUUUCCACUGUCUCUAGGAUGUUCAUGUUUUGUAGAAUCCAUAUCCUUAAUUCUUUUUGUGAGAAAAUGUAGAGCAUACCUAGUUCUCAGACCCAAUUCCAUAGAUUAGAAAAAAGUUUU